rnacentral:rRNA from 1 species
UACGGAGGGAGCUAGCGUUGUUCGGAAUUACUGGGCGUAAAGGGCGCGUAGGCGGCACGGCAAGUCAGGAGUGAAAGGCCUGGGCUCAACCGAGGAACUGCUUUUGAGACUGCCGAGCUAGAGUGCAGAAGGGGCAACUGGAAUUCCCAGUGUAGCGGUGAAAUGCGUAGAUAUUGGGAAGAACACCUGAGGCGAAGGCGGGUUGCUGGGCUGACACUGACGCUGAGGCGCGAAAGCCAGGGGAGCAAACGGG